rnacentral:rRNA from 1 species
GUGAGGAAUAUUGGUCAAUGGGCGGGAGCCUGAACCAGCCAAGUCGCGUGAAGGAAGAAGGAUCUAUGGUUCGUAAACUUCUUUUGCAGGGGAAUAAAGUGCGGGACGUGUCCUGUUUUGUAUGUACCCUGAGAAUAAGGAUCGGCUAACCCCGUGCCAGCAGCCGCGGUAAUACGGAGGAUCCGAGCGUUAUCCGGAUUUAUUGGGUUUAAAGGGUGCGUAGGUGGUUUGAUAAGUCAGCGGUGAAAGUUUGCAGCUUAACUGUAAAAAUGCCGUUGAAACUGUCGGACUUGAGUGUAAAUGAGGUAGGCGGAAUGCGUGGUGUAGCGGUGAAAUGCAUAGAUAUCACGCAGAACUCCGAUUGCGAAGGCAGCUUACUAAGCUACAACUGACACUGAAGCACGAAAGCGUGGGGAUCAAACAGGAUUAGAUACCCGAGUAGUCC